rnacentral:rRNA from 1 species
GGACGGGUGAGUAACAGGUGAGUAACCUACCUUAGACACAGGGAUAGCCUCGGGAAACCGGGAUUAAUACCAGAUGACAUUACACUUUCGCAUGAAAGAGUAAUCAAAGAGAUUCGGUCAAAGAUGGACUCGCCGCUGAUUAGCUAGUUGGUGAGAUAACAGCCCACCAAGGCAACGAUCAGUAGCCGGCCUGAGAGGGUGAACGGCCACAUUGGAACUGAGACACGGUCCAAACUCC